AUUCAUCAAAAAUUUCAGCCACGUAUCACUCCACCAUUCACCACAUCCUAAGCCAAUCCACAAUAAACUUGCCAAAACUCAAGAUCAUUCACAGAAAACUCAAAUAUCAUCAGCUUUCUUUCCUCUCCAAAAAAAUUCAAUCGAAACACAAGAAACCUCUUUGAACAAUAUCUACCUCAAAUCAACUCAGCCAUACACCAAACAUCAAACAUAUCAAAGAACACAGUCUGAUCACUUGAUAGAAGGUUUUAGCACUGGUUUUACAAGAAGAGAAUUGUGCAAAUUUUAUCUACAGGCUUGUCCUAUCAAGGUGGGUUUUAUUUUCCAAAGUAUGCUUUGAGUUAUUGAGCUCUACUUGUAUUAUGCAAAUGCAAAUGAAUGUCCAUGUUAAAAUGUUUCUUAUAUCUCUAUUGUUUAAAGUGCUCCUAUGUUAUCUAACGAUCGGGUCCUAGCCGGCGUAGCGAUUGGAUCACCCUGGUUAGGAUUGUGUACACACAAAGGGGUAUUGUCGGCUGCUCCCACUUGCCUCAGACUGUCAGACUUGGGUUGCUCCCAUUUCUGAAACAUGCAUGGUAGUGGACCUCUGUGGGCUGCUCCCACAUGUUCACAUUAUAGGUGAAGCACCAAUAGAGAGAAGACUGGAAAUGGAUCCACAAAUUUAUUUUAAGUAUGCAUGGAAUGCUUUCAAAUAUUUCUAUGUUAUACUGUUCAUAGCAUGGAUUAUUCUUUUAAAUGGAUUUUCAAAUGUUUUCAAAUGGCUAAACCCACUGAGUAUAUUAGUACUCAGCCCUGCAAUUGUUUUCAAAACCUUUUGCAGGUUGAGCGGCAGGUGGUGUCGUGCGAGGCUGAGGGAGGAUGUUGCUAUAGUUCCAUAUAAUAAUUUUCGCUGCCAUAAUAUUCACUUAGGUGGAUAUCUUUUGAGAUUGACUCUUUAAAUAUUCUUAGCCUAAUUAUUAUGAACUCUUUUGGCAAUCGCAUUCCUAGCAAUUGAACCUCGCAUAUAUGUAUGUCUAGUAUGAAGUGUUAUCUUGUUGUCUCAGACCUCCGAACUUUUGAUCCUGGUCGGGGAAAAUUUCUAUCUUAAUUGUUGUAUUUAUUAUCCUUCAAUUGCGGCACUCCUUUAAUAACAAUGUAUUACCCGAAUCUAAGAACA